UACGUAGGGGGCUAGCGUUGUCCGGAAUCAUUGGGCGUAAAGAGCGUGUAGGCGGCCCGGUAAGUCCGCUGUGAAAGUCGGGGGCUCAACCCUCGGAUGCCGGUGGAUACUGUCGGGCUCGAGUACGGAAGAGGCGAGUGGAAUUCCUGGUGUAGCGGUGAAAUGCGCAGAUAUCAGGAGGAACACCUAUUGCGAAGGCAGCCCGCUGGGACGUUACUGACGCUGAGACGCGAAAGCGUGGGGAGCAAACAGG
rnacentral:rRNA from 1 species